rnacentral:rRNA from 1 species
UACGUAGGGUGCGAGCGUUAAUCGGAAUUACUGGGCGUAAAGCGUGCGCAGGCGGUUUUGUAAGCCAGAUGUGAAAUCCCCGGGCUUAACCUGGGAAUGGCAUUUGGGACUGCAAGGCUUGAGUGCGGAAGAGGAGACUGGAAUUCCUGGUGUAGCAGUGAAAUGCGUAGAUAUCAGGAGGAACACCGAUGGCGAAGGCAGGUCUCUGGGCUGACACUGACGCUAAUGCACGAAAGCGUGGGGAGCAAACAGG